CGCCUCUUGAAAAAUAUAAGAGGUCCAGCCUGCCCAGUGACUCUGUUCAACGGCCGCGGUAUCCUAACCGUGCGAAGGUAGCGUAAUCACUUGUUCUUUAAAUGAGGACUAGUAUGAAAGGCAUCACGAGGGUUAUACUGUCUCCUUUUUCUAAUUAGUGAAACUAAUCUCCCCGUGAAGAAGCGGGGAUCUUUAUAUAAGACGAGAAGACCCUAUGGAGCUUUAAAUAAUAUAACAAUUGCUACUUUAUUUCUAUUAACUUUGUAUUAUCUAGCAAUAUGAUUAUUAAUUUUUGGUUGGGGUGACCGCGGAGCAUAACAUAACCUCCAUAUUGAAAGGAUAAUUUUCCUAAGCUAAAAGCAACAACUUUAUGCAUCAAUAAAUUGACAUCAAUUGACCCAAUAUAUUUGAUCAACGAACCAAGUUACCCUAGGGAUAACAGCGCAAUCUACUUUAAGAGCCCAUAUCGACAAGUAGGUUUACGACCUCGAUGUUGGAUCAGGGUAUCCUAGUGGUGCAGCCGCUACUAAUGGUUCGUUUGUUCAACGAUUAAAACCCU
rnacentral:rRNA from 1 species